AUUGAACGCUGGCGGCAGGCCUAACACAUGCAAGUCGAACGAGUGGCGGACGGGUGAGUAAUGUCUGGGAAACUGCCCGAUGGAGGGGGAUAACUACUGGAAACGGUAGCUAAUACCGCAUACCAUCGGAUGUGCCCAGAUGGGAUUAGCUGGUAGGUGAGGUAACGGCUCACCUAGGCGACGCUCCCGAGCUGGUCUGAGAGGAUGACCAGCGACACUGGAACUGAGACACGGUCCAGACUCGGAUGGGAGGCAGCAGUGGGGAAUAUUGCACAAUGGGCGCAAGCCUGAUGCAGCCAUGCCGCGUGUAUGAAGAAGGCCGGUGGGUUGUAAAGUACGUUCAGCGGGGAGGCGUUACCCGCAGAAGAAGCACCGGCUAACUCCGUGCCAGCAGCCGCGGUAAUAC
rnacentral:rRNA from 1 species